GAUGAAGAACGUAGCGAAAUGCGAUACGUAAUGUGAAUUGCAGAAUUCAGUGAAUCAUCGAAUCUUUGAACGCAUAUUGCGCUCUCUGGUAUUCCGGAGAGCAUGCUUGUUUGAGUAUCAGUAAACACCUCAACUUCCAUAUCUUUUUUGAAAUGGGAGUUGGACUUGAGUGAUCCCAACGCUUUUCCUCACCGAAAAGUGGCGGGUUACUUGAAAUGCAGGUGCAGCUGGACUUUUCUCUGAGCUAUAAGCAUAUCUAUUUAGUCUGCCUAAAAAACAGAUUAUUACCUUUGCUGCAGCUAACAUAAAGGAGAUUAGUUCUUGUGCUGACUGAUGCAGGAUUCACAAAGACGGCUUCGGCCGACUUUGUAAACUCGAUCUCAAAUCAAGCAAGACUACCCGCUGAACUUAAGCAUAUCAAUAAGCGGAGGA
rnacentral:misc_RNA from 1 species